rnacentral:rRNA from 1 species
CGUAAUAGCUCACUAGUCGAGAGGUCCUGCGCCGAAAAUGUCCGGGGCUGAAACACACUACCGAAGCUUAGGAAUUGAUGAAUGUCAAUUGGUAGAGGAGCAUUCUUAACGGGGCGAAGCUGUACCGGAAGGAGCAGUGGACUGUUAAGAAGAGAGAAUGCCGGAAUGAGUAGCGAGAGGAAGGUGAGAAUCCUUCCGGCCGAAUAUCUAAGGUUUCCAGAGUAAAGCUGAUCUGCUCUGGGUAAGUCGGGGCCUAAGGCGAGGUCGAAAGACGUAGUCGAUGGAUAACAGGUAAAGAUUCCUGUACUAUAUCAUAACAGAACUGUGGGGACGCAGACAGAGAGCAUAAGCCGGGAAUGGAAAAACCGGUACAAGCGAGGUAGGAGUGCAUCAGGCAAAUCCGGUGCACAAUCUGAAGACGUGAUGUGGGGCGUAAAGCCGGAAGUAUGUGAGCUGGCUGCCAAGAAAAGCCGCUAUUGUUUAUGAUAUACCCGUACCGUAAACCGACACAGGUGGAUGAGGAGAGAAUCCUAAGGCCGACGGGAGAAGCAUUGUUAAGGAACUCGGCAAAAUGACUCCGUAACUUCGGGAGAAGGAGUGCCAUGUAAAAGUGGCCGCAGAGAAUUGGCCCAAGCAACUGUUUAGCAAAAACACAGGUCUAUGCAAAACCGAAAGGUGAGGUAUAUGGGCUGACGCCUGCCCGGUGCUGGAAGGUUAAGGGGAGAGGUUAGCCGUAAGGCGAAGCUUUGAACUUAAGCCCCAGUAAACGGCGGCCNNNNNNNNNNNNNNNNNNNNNNNNNNNNNNNNNNNNNNNNNNNNNNNNNCUUGUCGGGUAAGUUCCGACCCGCACGAAAGGCGUAAUGAUUUGGGCACUGUCUCAACAAUGCACCCGGUGAAAUUGAAAUACCAGUGAAGAUGCUGGUUACCUGCGCCAGGACGGAAAGACCCCAUGGAGCUUUACUCCAGCUUGAUACUGGGAUUCGAUAUUGCAUGUACAGGAUAGGUGGGAGACUGAGAACUGAUGACGCCAGUUGUCAGGGAGUCAUUGUUGGGAUACCACCCUUGUAGUAUUGGAUUUCUAACCAGCAGCCGUGAUCCGGCUGGGGGACAAUGUCAGGUGGGGAGUUUGACUGGGGCGGUCGCCUCCGAAAGGGUAUCGGAGGCGCUCAAAGGUUCCCUCAGAAUGGUUGGAAAUCAUUCGCAGAGGGCAAAGGCAGAAGGGAGCUUGACUGCGACACCGACGGGUGGAGCAGGUACGAAAGUAGGACUUAGUGAUCCGGUGGUUCAAAGUGGGAUUGCCAUCGCUCAACGGAUAAAAGCUACCCUGGGGAUAACAGGCUUAUCUCCCCCAAGAGUCCACAUCGACGGAGUGGUUUGGCACCUCGAUGUCGGCUCAUCGCAUCCUGGGGCUGUAGUUGGUCCCAAGGGUUGGGCUGUUCGCCCAUUAAAGCGGUACGCGAGCUGGGUUCAGAACGUCGUGAGACAGUUCG